rnacentral:lncRNA from 1 species
CAAAACUAUACGUGUCAUUCUCUUCUUUAAAAAGUCACUGUGCAUCUGCUACCUGCAUGGAGUCUCUGUCAUAUCCUUACUUCACUCUUGGAUUCUCCUUCAAACAGCACAGAUGUCUGCUUUGUUGAAACCUCUAUCUUACAUCUUGGAGUAGGGAAGAAGACAACUAUACAUUCUAUUUAUGGCUGUACUUCAUGAUUGAAACCAAUGUGAACAAACAUCCUGACACUUGCUUUCAUAACCUAGACGAUUUAAUAUUAUG